CAAAAAUUAGUUAAAUAAUAAUAUUGGCUUGUCAGGCUAAAGUUAUCAAAACUUAUGAUAUUUUUGA
rnacentral:tRNA from 1 species